ensembl:miRNA MIR3683 microRNA 3683
GGGUGUACACCCCCUGCGACAUUGGAAGUAGUAUCAUCUCUCCCUUGGAUGCUACGAACAAUAUCACAGAAGGUGUACACCC